rnacentral:rRNA from 1 species
UUUGAUCCUGGCUCAGAUUGAACGCUGGCGGCAGGCCUAACACAUGCAAGUCGAGCGGCAGCACGGGAAGCUUGCUUCCUGGUGGCGAGCGGCGGACGGGUGAGUAAUGCAUAGGAAUCUGCCCGGUAGUGGGGGAUAACCUGGGGAAACCCAGGCUAAUACCGCAUACGCCCUACAGGGGAAAGCAGGGGCUCUUCGGACCUUGCGCUAUCGGAUGAGCCUAUGUCGGAUUAGCUGGUUGGUGAGGUAAUGGCUCACCAAGGCGACGAUCCGUAGCUGGUCUGAGAGGAUGAUCAGCCACAUCGGGACUGAGACACGGCCCGAACUCCUACGGGAGGCAGCAGUGGGGAAUAUUGGACAAUGGGCGCAAGCCUGAUCCAGCCAUGCCGCGUGUGUGAAGAAGGCCCUCGGGUUGUAAAGCACUUUCAGUGGGGAAGAACGCCUUCCGGUUAAUACCCGGGAGGAAAGACAUCACCCACAGAAGAAGCACCGGCUAACUCCGUGCCAGCAGCCGCGGUAAUACGGAGGGUGCGAGCGUUAAUCGGAAUUACUGGGCGUAAAGCGCGCGCAGGUGGCUUGAUAAGCCGGUUGUGAAAGCCCCGGGCUCAACCUGGGAACGGCAUCCGGAACUGUCAGGCUAGAGUGCAGGAGAGGAAGGUAGAAUUCCCGGUGUAGCGGUGAAAUGCGUAGAGAUCGGGAGGAAUACCAGUGGCGAAGGCGGCCUUCUGGACUGACACUGACACUGAGGUGCGAAAGCGUGGGUAGCAAACAGGAUUAGAUACCCUGGUAGUCCACGCCGUAAACGAUGUCGACUAGCCGUUGGGUCCUUCGCGGACUUUGUGGCGCAGUUAACGCGAUAAGUCGACCGCCUGGGGAGUACG